rnacentral:rRNA from 1 species
CGGACCGGCGACGGCGAGCGAACCCCAAAAAUAAACGCCCCAGUUCGGAUUGUAGUCUGCAACCCGACUACAUGAAGCUGGAAUCGCUAGUAAUCGCGGAUCAGAACGCCGCGGUGAAUACGUUCCCGGGCCUUGUACACACCGCCCGUCACACCAUGAGAGUUGGAGAUACCCGAAGCCUGUGAGCUAACAAACGAGGCAGCAGUCGAAGGUAGAAUCAAUGAUUGGGGUGAAGUCGUAACAAGGUAUC